GACGAACGCUGGCGGCGUGCUUAACACAUGCAAGUCGAACGGAAAGGCCCUGCUUUUGUGGGGUGCUCGAGUGGCGAACGGGUGAGUAACACGUGAGUAACCUGCCCUUGACUUUGGGAUAACUUCAGGAAACUGGGGCUAAUACCGGAUAGGAGCUCCUGCUGCAUGGUGGGGGUUGGAAAGUUUCGGCGGUUGGGGAUGGACUCGCGGCUUAUCAGCUUGUUGGUGGGGUAGUGGCUUACCAAGGCUUUGACGGGUAGCCGGCCUGAGAGGGUGACCGGCCACAUGGGUCCUGAGAUACGGCCCAGACGCCUACGGGAGGCAGCAGUGGGGAAUAUGGCACAAUGGGCGGAAGCCGGAGGCAGCAACGCCGCGGGCGGGAUGACGGCCUGCGGGUUGUAAACCGCUUUCGCCUGUGACGAAGCGGGAGUGACGGUAAUGGGUAAAGAAGCACCGGCUAACUACGUG
rnacentral:rRNA from 1 species